CCGUCGAUAGCUCAGUUGGUAGAGCGGUGGACUGUAGAGGUUGAAAACUAUGGACAUCCAUAGGUCGCUGGUUCGAAUCCGGCUCGACGGA
rnacentral:tRNA from 1 species